AAUACAGCUCAGCUUGGUCAUAUAAUUGUCUUUACCACCACACCUCAGCUAGGUUUGCACUGACACAGUGUUCCUAGUCUUCAAAUUAAUCAGGUGACCUUUGAGCCUAGGUGGAGCCAGGUAUUAAAAGAAUGUUUUCAAACCGGAAAUAAUGAUAGGGACGCAUGAAAAGUCAAUAAAAAGUCUCUUUACGAUUUGCAAAUUUGCCCUCCUCCUGUAAUACUGGCCUUUUCUGGUCUCUGAUUGGUAGGUAAAUAUGUGAAAUAUUAUGGCUUUGUAUGCAUAAGUGAAGAAGAAUUACUGCAAGACCCACAAGAAAGAAGCAGCAGCCACUGGGACGCUUUCACUUUUGGCUGUGAUCUUUUUUUCCUCAGAUGUGGAACCCUAACCAAGGAAUGCCUGGUGGAAUACCACCUCAGCAACCCUGCCCCCCUGUUCCUGGACCAUAUCCUGGGCCAGGCAUGCCGGCAUACCCAGCCNCAGGUUAUCCUGGUGCUCCUCCUCCA
rnacentral:lncRNA from 1 species